rnacentral:rRNA from 1 species
GUCCAGACUCCUACGGGAGGCAGCAGUGGGGAAUAUUGCACAAUGGGGGAAACCCUGAUGCAGCGACGCCGCGUGAGCGAUGAAGUAUUUCGGUAUGUAAAGCUCUAUCAGCAGGGAAGAAGAUGACGGUACCUGACUAAGAAGCCCCGGCUAACUACGUGCCAGCAGCCGCGGUAAUACGUAGGGGGCAAGCGUUAUCCGGAUUUACUGGGUGUAAAGGGAGCGUAGACGGCGAUGCAAGCCAGAUGUGAAAGCCCGGGGCUCAACCCCGGGACUGCAUUUGGAACUGUGUGGCUGGAGUGUCGGAGAGGCAGGCGGAAUUCCUAGUGUAGCGGUGAAAUGCGUAGAUAUACGGAGGAACACCAGUGGCGAAGGCGGAUUGCUGGACAGUAACUGACGCUGAGGCGCGAAAGCGUGGGGAGCAAACAGGAUUAGAUACCCUAGUACA